rnacentral:rRNA from 1 species
UACGUAGGGUGCGAGCGUUGUCCGGAAUUAUUGGGCGUAAAGAGCUCGUAGGCGGUUUGUCACGUCUGCUGUGAAAUCCCGAGGCUCAACCUCGGGCCUGCAGUGGGUACGGGCAGACUGGAGUGCGGCAGGGGAGAAUGGAAUUCCUGGUGUAGCGGUGGAAUGCGCAGAUAUCAGGAGGAACACCGAUGGCGAAGGCAGUUCUCUGGGCCGUAACUGACGCUGAGGAGCGAAAGCGUGGGGAGCGAACAGG